rnacentral:ncRNA from 1 species
CCCAUCCGACAGGGGAGCGCCACAGCGCUGAGAGUGCGGCAGCCGACGGCCGCAGACCCUCUGAACCUCGCCCGGGUCAUUCCGGGUAGGAAGUUCGGUCACCACCUCAA